rnacentral:rRNA from 1 species
CCCUAUGGGGCGCACCAGGCAGCUUGAAGUGAUCCGGCCGGCAGUUAUCGGCAGGGCUUUGGAUGUGGAAGCCAGCGUGGAAGCGAUUACCACCAAACUGCCCGCCGGUGAGCAUGAAAUCGCUUUGGUUCUCAAGCAGGUAGACCCGGCAGUGAAGGACGAUACAACAGGGGAAUCGCUUGGCAUUACUGAAUUGGUUGUUGCUGAGACCUCCUAUUUUUAUGGCUCUGAUCCUGCUCGCAUCCAAAAUAUUAGCGCUGCAGCCAGCAGUUUUCACGGCUUAUUGAUUCCACCCGGUGCCACCUUCUCUAUGGCGAGCGAACUGACUGAUAUCAGCCUGGAGAAUGGCUAUGCUGAAGCCUUGAUCAUUGUAGGGAAAGAAACCGUCAAAGGAAUUGGCGGGGGGGC